ACGCUGGCGGCGUGCCUAACACAUGCAAGUCGAACGAGAUGCUUAUCGGAAAGCUUCGGCCGGAAGAUAAGUUAUCUAGUGGCGGACGGGUGAGUAACACGUGGGUAACCUGCCUUAUGGAGGGGGAUAACAGAGAGAAAUCACUGCUAAUACCGCAUAAGCACACAGUACCGCAUGGUACAGGGUGAAAAGAUUUAUCGCCAUAAGAUGGACCCGCGUCUGAUUAGCCGGUUGGCAGGGUAAAAGCCUACCAAAGCAACGAUCAGUAGCCGAUCUGAGAGGAUGACCGGCCACAUUGGGACUGAGACACGGCCCAAACUCCUACGGGAGGCAGCAGUGGGGAAUAUUGCACAAUGGGGGAAACCCUGAUGCAGCGACGCCGCGUGAGUGAAGAAGUAUUUCGGUAUGUAAAGCUCUAUCAGCAGGGAAGAUAAUGACAGUACCUGACUAAGAAGCCCCGGCUAACUACGUGCCAGCAGCCGCGGUAAUACGUAGGGGGCAAGCGUUAUCCGGAUUUACUGGGUGUAAAGGGAGCGUAGACGGAAUGGCAAGUCUGAAGUGAAAUACCCGGGCUCAACCUGGGAACUGCUUUGGAAACUGUUGUUCUAGAGUGUUGGAGAGGUAAGUGGAAUUCCUGGUGUAGCGGUGAAAUGCGUAGAUAUCAGGAAGAACACCGGAGGCGAAGGCGGCUUACUGGACAAUAACUGACGUUGAGGCUCGAAAGCGUGGGGAUCAAACAGGAUUAGAUACCCUGGUAGUCCACGCUGUAAACGAUGAAUACUAGGUGUCGGGGUGCAAAGUAUCUCGGUGCCGUCGCUAACGCAAUAAGUAUUCCACCUGGGGAGUACGUUCGCAAGAAUGAAACUCAAAGGAAUUGACGGGGACCCGCACAAGCGGUGGAGCAUGUGGUUUAAUUCGAAGCAACGCGAA
rnacentral:rRNA from 1 species